rnacentral:misc_RNA from 1 species
GAUGAAGAACGCAGCGAAAUGCGAUAAGUAAUGUGAAUUACAGAAUUCAGUGAAUCAUCGAAUCUUUGAACGCACAUUGCGCCCGCCAGUAUUCUGGCGGGCAUGCCUGUCCGAGCGUCAUUUCAACCCUCAGGCCCUGGUUGCCUGGUGUUGGGGCGCCGCGCACCCUCUGCGGGCGCGGGCCCCGAAAGUCAGUGGCGGGCUCGCCAGGACUCCGAGCGCAGUAAUUUUCUCUCGCUGUGGAGCGCCUGGUGGGUUACCAGCCGUAAAACACCCCAAAUUCUAAAGGUUGACCUCGGAUCAGGUAGGAAUACCCGCUGAACUUAAGCAUAUCAAUAAGCGGAGGA